UGGGGAAUAUUGGGCAAUGGGCGCAAGCCUGACCCAGCAACGCCGCGUGAAGGAAGAAGGCCCUCGGGUUGUAAACUUCUUUUGUCAGGGACGAAGCAAGUGACGGUACCUGACGAAUAAGCCACGGCUAACUACGUGCCAGCAGCCGCGGUAAUACGUAGGUGGCAAGCGUUAUCCGGAUUUACUGGGUGUAAAGGGCGUGUAGGCGGGAGUGCAAGUCAGAUGUGAAAACUCAGGGCUCAACCCUGAGCCUGCAUUUGAAACUGUACUUCUUGAGUGAUGGAGAGGCAGGCGGAAUUCCGUGUGUAGCGGUGAAAUGCGUAGAUAUACGGAGGAACACCAGUGGCGAAGGCGGCCUGCUGGACAUUAACUGACGCUGAGGCGCGAAAGCGUGGGGAGCAAACAGGAUUAAUACCC
rnacentral:rRNA from 1 species